UACGUAGGGUGCAAGCGUUGUCCGGAAUUAUUGGGCGUAAAGAGCGUGUAGGCGGCUUGACAGGUCUGCUGUGAAAACUCGAGGCUCAACCUCGAGAUGUCGGCGGAAACCGUCUGGCUAGAGUCCGGAAGAGGAGAGUGGAAUUCCUGGUGUAGCGGUGAAAUGCGCAGAUAUCAGGAGGAACACCGAUGGCGAAGGCAGGUCUCUGGGCAUUAACUGACGCUGAGGAGCGAAAGCAUGGGGAGCGAACAGG
rnacentral:rRNA from 1 species